GACAGAGGGUGCAAACGUUGUUCGGAAUUACUGGGCGUAAAGCGCGUGUAGGCGGCUAAGUAAGUCGGGCGUGAAAUCCCACGGCUCAACCGUGGAAGUGCACUCGAAACUGCAUAGCUAGAGUCCUGGAGAGGAAGGUGGAAUGCUUGGUGUAGAGGUGAAAUUCGUAGAUAUCAGGAAGAACACCAACGGCGAAGGCAGCUCGCUAGGACGGUACUGACGCUGAGACGCGAAAGCGUGGGGAGCGAACAGG
rnacentral:rRNA from 1 species